GAGGAUAAGAAAAGGAGACCACACGGAGUUAAAAGGGAUGACAGGAUAAAAAAAAGAGACCACACCAAGUUAAAAGGGAAGAGAGGAUAAGAAAAAGGGACCAUACAAAGUUAAAAGGGAGGAGUAGGAUAAGAAAAGGGAACCACACGGAGUUAAAAGGGAAGAGAGGAUAAGAAAAGAGAACCACACGGAGUUAAAAGGGAAGAGAGGAUAAAGAAAGGGGCAUUCGAGAGAUCGGGAUUUUGGAAUUGGAGAGCUAGCUUCA
rnacentral:lncRNA from 1 species